rnacentral:ncRNA from 1 species
UGCAGAUAAAGGUAAACCAUUCGCAAGAAUGGGGUACAAAGCUAAAGUAUCCUGCCGAACAAUGCAGGACAGCCAGCUGCCUAA